rnacentral:rRNA from 1 species
UACGAAGGGGGCUAGCGUUGUUCGGAAUCACUGGGCGUAAAGGGCGCGUAGGCGGCUGUUCAAGUCGGGGGUGAAAGCCUGUGGCUCAACCACAGAAUUGCCUUCGAUACUGGACGGCUGGAGACCGGAAGAGGUCAGUGGAACUGCGAGUGUAGAGGUGAAAUUCGUAGAUAUUCGCAAGAACACCAGUGGCGAAGGCGGCUGACUGGUCCGGUUCUGACGCUGAGGCACGAAAGCGUGGGGAGCAAACAGG